AAAAGAGUGAACUGAGUUUAUAAAGCUAUGUGUUUAAGAAUAAAUUUCAAGAUGCUAUUUUUCCAGCAGCCUAUGAAUCACUUCAACUCAUUUGCAAACUCAACUGUCUGCCAGAGGAAAUUCAUUUUUGAUGACCGUGGAGAGAAUGAAAGGCGUCAUAUAUGGGGCUUUCCCCUCCUAUGGUUAUGAGCUGUCCUGCUGGAGGGGAAAUAUUCCUGCUUCAAUUUUUAUCCUGCCCACAUCCAAACAGCAACGAUGAACACACUGGAGUUAACUGUCACCAUAUUAGCGUGGAAUCAUUUAUCAUGUUAUCGAUUGCCUGUGGUCAGUUCACCCUCAUGAUUUCCCAAGACGGAAGCGAGUGGAUGGAUAGUACCCCAACAUCUGGCAGCCCUUGAUGCUCCAGUUUGGGGGAUCAAUUCACUCUCCU